AUGUACUUCACUCUAAAAAACCAUUUAAAUCUCAAUAUAUACAGGAGCUCAUUUUUCAGCAGCUGCUCAAUUUGGAACUCCGGAACUCACUCACUAUUAUCUUCACCACUUAUUAAUAGCACAGCGGCACGAGGGCCUUCACGCUGCAUCCCUCUUCACAGGGCUGCAAGGUUGUCACAUUAUCUGUGUUCUCUCUCUGUUCUCUCUCUCUCUCUCUCUGUUCUCUCUCUCUCUCUCUCUCUCUGUUCUCUCUCUGUUCUAUCUCUCUCUCUCCCUCUCUGUUCUCUCUCUCUCUGUUCUCUCUCUCUCUCUGUUCUCUCUCUCUCUCUCUGUUCUCUCUCUCUUCUCUCUCUCUCUGUGUUCUCUCUCUCUCUCUCUGUUCUCUCUCUCUCUCUCUCUGUUCUCUCUCUAUCUUUUCUCUCUCUCUCUCUGUUCUCUCUCUCUCUCUCUGUUCUCUCUCUCUCUCUGUUCUCUCUCUGUGUGUGUUCUCUCUCUCUGUCUAUUCUCUCUCUGUUCUCGCUCUCUCUGUUCUCUCUCUCUCUGUCUGUUCUCUCUCUCUGUUCUCUCUCUCGCUGUUCUCUGUUCUCUCUCUGUUCCCUCUCUCUCUCUGUUCUCUCUCUGUUCUCUCUCUCUGUUCUCUCUGUUCUCUCUCUCUGUUCUCUCUCUCUCUGUUCUCUCUCUCUCUCUCUGUCUGUUCUUUCUCACUCUCUCUGUCUGUUCUCUCUCUGUUCUCUCUCUCUCUAUCUGUUCUCUCUCUCUGUUAUCUCUCUCUCUCUGUGUUCUAUCUCUCUCUCUCUCUGUUCUCUCUCUGUUCUCUCUCUCUCUCUGUUCUCUUUUCUCUCUCUCUGUUCUCUGUUCUCUCUAUCUCUCUGUUCUCUCUCUCUGUGUUCUCUGUUCUCUCUCUCUCUGUUCCCUCUCUCUGUUCUCUCUCUCUGUUCUCUCUCUCUCUCUAUCUCUCUCUGUUCUCUCUCUCUCUGUUCUCUGUUCUCUCUCUCUCUGUUCCCUCUCUCUGUUCUCACUCUCUCUGUUCUCUCUCUCCCUCUCUCUCUCUGUUCUCUCUCUCUCUGUUCUCUGUUCUCUCUCUCUCUGUUCUGUCUCUCUCUGUUCUCUCUGAUUCUCUGUUCUCUGUUAUCUCUCUCUCGCUCUCGCUCUCGCUCUCUCUAUUCUUUCUCUCUCCCUGUUCUCUCUCUCCCUUUCUCUCUCUCUCUCUCUCUCUCUCUGUUCUCUCUGUUCUCUCUCUCUCUCUCUCUCUCUCUCUCUUUUCUCUCUCUUUGUUCUCUCUCUCUCUCUGUUCUCUCUCUCUCCCUAUCUCUCUCUCUCUCUCUCUGUUCUCUCUCUCUCUGUUUUCUCUCUCUCUGUUCUCUCUCUCUCUGUUCUCUCUCUCUCUCUCUCUCUCUGUUCUCUUUCUCUCUCUCUGUUCUCUCUCUCUCUGUUCUCUCUCUCUCUGUUCUCUCUCUCUGUUCUCUCUCUCUCUGUUCUAUCUCUCUGUUCUCUCUCUCUCUCUGUUCUUUCUCUCUCUGUUCUCUCUCUAUUCUCUCUCUCUCUCUCUCUCUCUGUUCUCGCUCUCUGUUCUCUCUCUCUGUGUUCUCUCUCUCUCUUUUCCAUCUCUCUGUUCUCUCUCUCUCUCUGUGUGUGUUCUCUCUCCCUCUCUCUGUUCUCUCUCUCUCUCUCUCUCUCUCUCUCUCUCUCGGUUCUCUCUCUCUGUUCUCUUUCUCCCUGUUCUCUGUUCUCUCUCUCUCUCUGUUCUCUCUCUCUGUUCUCUCUCUCUGUUCUCUCUCUCUCUGUUCUCUCUCUCUCUGUUCUCGCUCUCUCUCUGUUCUCUCUCUCUCUCUCUCUCUCUCUCUGUUCUCUCUAGCUGUUAUCUCUCUCUGUUCUCUCUCCCUGUUCUCUAUCUCUCUCUCUCUCUCUCUGUUUUAUCUCUCUCUCCUUGGUUUCUCUUUUGCAUUACCAUGUAAAGCCAGCCACUCUCCCAUCCCUCCCUAUUCGCUGUAUGUGGUCUUGCUUCACUCCUUUCAUAAAUGUAUAGCUACUAGCUGCUAG
rnacentral:lncRNA from 1 species